AUGGGCAUCUAGAUUGCUUCCAUGUCCUGGCUAUUGUAAACAGUGCUGCGAUGAACACUGGGGUACACGUGUCUGUUUCAAUUAAUUUUUUUCUAAUUCCACAUAUAAGUGAUAUCAUAUGGUUCUUGUAUUUCUCUGUAUGACAAAUUUCACAAAGAAUAAUACCUUCCAAGUCCAAUCAUGUUGUAUAAGAUGGCAAAAAUUCAUUCUUUUUUAUAGUUACUUAGUGAAUGAAGAGUGAGUCUAAGGAAGUAACCUGGACAGUAAGAACACAAAAUAUUUUUUUAGUUUCAGUGAAAGGUUAUGAUUUUCUAAGCUAAAAAUGAGAUGACUAUGUGCUGUGCAUGGAUCAUUACAUGUAAAUAUGAGAAUCGUGAACAAGUCUCAGACUUAUUUUUUUAUUUUAAAAACAAAUUUUAUUGGAGCAUAGUUGAUUUAUAAUGUGUAGUAUCAGAUGCAUUGCAAAGUGGCUCAGUUAAAGAUAUACACUUUUUUUUUUAGGUUCUUUUCCCAUAUAGGCUGUAACAGAGUAUGGAGUAGAGUUUCCUGUCUUAUAUGGUGAUCUUCCCCACCCAGAGAUCAAACCUCUUACAUCUCCUGCAUUGGCCGGCACGUUCUGUACCACUAGCACCAUCUGUUCAAUAACCCCGAAGAAUCUUCUGCAGACAAUCCUCUUCAUCAAACCCUAACCUCUGAGAACCAUUAAUUUGGCUUCUGUGACUGUAGUUUUGCCUUUUCUAAAAAGAACAGCCACAACCUGAGAAUAAUCUAAGUGUCACUCAACUGGUGGGUGGAUAGACCUUUGUUCUUAACAGCCAACUCUGUUAGUCAUAUGGUUCACUACUAGAGGUAAAAUUAUUGAGACUUAUUCCUCAGUUUCCGAUAUUAGUAUAUCAUCAUUUGAAAUCUUCAAAUAUAUAAUCUUCAAAUAUACAUUUGAAAUCUUCAUUAAGUACAAAUCUAACCGAUUCAUGGCCCGAAUUAACACAGGACAGCACAGUAAACAUAUCAAUACAUAAAGAGAAUUGCAGUUAACUCUUUCUUGAAGAGCUAUUAACUUUGGAAAGAAGAUGGAGUGAGUCCUCCAGAAUCUGCAUUUUGAAAUCAAACUUUCUAAAGUGAUAGAAUUGAGGUAGAACCUUUGGAUGGUGAUUAGGAUUAGAGAAGGUCUUUGGCAUGGAAGACUUAUACAUGGGUUUGGGGACCCUGGAACACUAACAAUAGCACUUGCUUCCUUUGCUACAAUUUGUUCUUCUUUAUUCCAUGUUCUCUCUGAGAAUGAGUAGAAUAUUCUUUGCUUCUUUGUAGCUUCUGGGAGUGGCCAUUAGUCCUCACUGGUUUUUGGCUUGAAGCUGCAUUAGUCUAACUGCUGCUUCUCUGGUCACAGAAUAUUUUCUAUGAGUGUCUUUGUCUUUACUUGUAUUUUCUUCUUCUUAAAAGACAUCAGUCAUAUUUCACUGAAGCCUACCAAAACAAUCGCAUCUUAACUUAAUUACAUCUGUUAGAUACCUAAUUCCAAAUAAAGUAAGACUUUUAGGUCUUGGCUGUAAGGAUUCUAAAAACUCUUGAGGACACUGUUUGACACAUAACAGUGCACAUUGCAGCCUCUCAGCUUCCUGUGUUUCCCAAGUGUCAAAUAUAUUCACCCAAUCCCAGCAUCUCCCAAGGUUUCACCCUUCUCAGCAUCAACUCUAAAGCCCAAAUUUUAUUAAAUGUCCUCCAAAUAAGUUAUGGGUGAGACACAGUUUCUUGUUCAUCCUUGGGCAAAAUUCCUGUUCGUGUGUGACCCUAUGAACCAGAAAACAAGGAAUGUGUUUUCAAUGUUAAUGUAUUAAAAAUGUUAAUACAUACUUAGAAUAGACAUUACCAUUCAAAAAUGGAGAAAGAGAAAGAAAAAUGAGUCUCAAAUCCUAAACUCAAAACCCAUGAGGAGAAAUCUCAUUAGAUUCCAAUUGAGAGAACACUUUUCUAUGGAAAAAAAUAAAAAAGCCCAUGGGGGACAGCCCCAACUUUUCAACCCACCAGAGAAGUGAGCCUACUCUCUCAGGUGAAAGAAGCCCUGUUAUCAGAGCUCUAUCUUUGGAGGCAUUCCUCCUUUAUGUGAAUGAUGCCUGUCCCUUUCAUUCCCUGCUGAACACAUUUCUGCUAGUAUAAGGUUCUCAAAAACCUUGUCAGUCUCUUUUGCUUUAAUACCUAUAAGUUCUCAGCCAUGUGGAUAAAACACAGAUCAUCCCUGGAAAACAGCAUCUCUAUUUCUGUCUUGUGCUGUGUCAUGCUAAGUCGCUUCAGUCGUGUCCGACUCUCUGCGACCCCAGGGACUGUAGCCUGACCGGGUCCGCUGCCCAUGGGGUUCUCUAAGCAACAAUACUAGAGUGGGUUGUGAUUUCCUUCCCCAGAGGAUUUUCUCAACCCAGGAAUCAAACGCCCAUCUUUUAAGUCUCCUGCAUUGUUAUGCAGGUCUUUACCACUAGUUCCCCUGAGAAAUUUCAAAUUAUCUCCUUUUUAAUGACUUCUUAAUGACUGAUGAUUCAUUCUUCCAUUUACAACUCAUCUCAUGUGUUUUAUGCAAGCAGCGAGAAGAAAUUAGAUGAAUCUUUCAUAAUUGGGUUGGCAAUCUCCUGAUCUAAAUAUCCAAGUUCAACUUGAAUAUUUUGUAUGGUGGUUAAUUUUGUAUCAACUUGGCCGGGUUAUAGUACUCAGUAGCUUGGUCAAACCAGUUUGUCUGUUUCUCUGAAGACAUCUUAAAGAUAUGAUUAACAUUUAAUCACAGACUUUGAAUAAAGUAAAUUACCUUUCAUAA